GCCUUCGUGGUGUAGUGGUCAGCACGCUUGGUGCGUAUUCAAGAGAUCCGAGGUUCGAGUCCCAGCAAGGACA
rnacentral:tRNA from 1 species